rnacentral:misc_RNA from 1 species
ACUUCCACCUGGCAUACCUCUUCAGUCUUGUGUCAAUGCUUGUAUUGCAUUGAACGCACGGUGGGUUUCUUGUGUUGCAUUCCUAAUUGAUGGUAUCAUUUGAUGAAUUGAUGUCCAUUUUCGUCUUGUGUUGCACAUGCGAUGUGAGAUGAACCUUAAAGCAGCCUUUGUGAUCCACUCUUUUGAUGCACACGCAUUGAUUUUGUGGCCCAUUAAGUGUUGCUUGGUCUCAUGGAUAUGGAACCUUGUGUGGGCAUGGGAUCUUUUACUAGUUCCUUGUUUGCCCUAGUUAAGUUUUUCAAAUACGAUUUCCUAUCAUGUCUUAACGUGGUAGGCUAUAUCGAAUAUGAAUGCUACCUGGUUGAUCCUGCCAGUAGUCAUAUGCUUGUCUCAAAGAUUAAGCCAU